AGUGAACGCUGGCGGUAGGCCUAACACAUGCAAGUCGAACGGCAGCACAGUAAGAGCUUGCUCUUACGGGUGGCGAGUGGCGGACGGGUGAGGAAUACAUCGGAAUCUACUUUUUCGUGGGGGAUAACGUAGGGAAACUUACGCUACUACCGCAUACGACCUACGGGUGAAAGCAGGGGAUCUUCGGACCUUGCGCGAUUGAAUGAGCCGAUGUCGGAUUAGCUAGUUGGCGGGGUAAAGGCCCACCAAGGCGACGAUCCGUAGCUGGUCUGAGAGGAUGAUCAGCCACACUGGAACUGAGACACGGUCCAGACUCCUACGGGAGGCAGCAGUGGGGAAUAUUGGACAUUGGGCGCAAGCCUGAUCCAGCCAUACCGCGUGGGUGAAGAAGGCCUUCGGGUUGUAAAGCCCUUUUGUUGGGAAAGAAAAGCAGCAGGUUAAUACCCCGCUGUUCUGACGGUACCCAAAGAAUAAGCACCGGCUAACUUCGUG
rnacentral:rRNA from 1 species